GCCGAUAUCAUUUCUUUUAGUUCGUCUGCCCCUGAUCACAACACCCGACGGCCAAGUGAGAUAUUAGAUACUACUCUUCCGUUUUGGACAACAUGCCGGGCAACGAGCAGAAAGCAGGUGGCUCAACUCGUGACUUACGCGAAUCAUCCCGACCAACCAAGGGAGCUCAAUCGGGAAUUACGAGUGAGCCUCCUCCUGCAUGGGCUAAAACUCUGAUGCAAGACAUGAUCAAUGAGAUCAAGUCAUUGCUUGAGAAGAAAAUGGCAGAAAUGGAAGCUAGUCUCAAAAAAGCUUUGGAAGGUCGCCGCUAGGAUUAAAUACCAACCAGCUGUUGGUUUGGUAUUUAAUUUCAAAUUAAAUAAAUGCAUGAAUGCAUGAUGUGUGUUUCUAUAUAUGUUUGUCUUCAUCUAUGUUCAGCGGAUCAUAUAUAUUAACGUUUGUGCUUAAUUGGUUUCACGUAUUAAUUAAGUACCCUAUCUACAUAUGCUGAUAUA